rnacentral:SRP_RNA from 1 species
UCGUGCUAGAUGGGGAGCCAGCGGUGCCUUGUACCCGCAAUCCGCUAUAGCGGGGUUGAAUUCCUCUUUUGAGGCCAGGCUGAUGGGCCGCUGUUCAGGGUUGGCGGUGUUGAAGGUUGGGUCCCACGCGGCGUAGUCUUGUGAACCCCGCCAGGUCCGGAAGGAAGCAACGGUAAGCGAGAAACUGCGGGUGCCGUGGGAGUGCCUGGCCCGAGUCGUUUUCCCCUAUAUGCCUAUUUGGUCUGUGUCGAUGGGGGGUGCACGG